UAUUAAAAAUUUCAUCCAUUUCUACAAUUAAAAAUUGACAUGGUUAACGAAAUAAUCAUACAGUUACACAUGUACCUCAUACUGAGGUACAUGGAUCAGUUUUUAAUAAUAGAAAUGAACCGAUUUUUUAAUA
rfam:Gossypium arboreum cultivar AKA8401 contig_7746_1, whole genome shotgun sequence.